rnacentral:lncRNA from 1 species
GCUGUUUGAGAACAAAACGGCAAGCAAACACAUCCAAUUUGAGACUGAAGCAGUAAUAUAUAGAAAGCGAGGAAUUUGUCUCAUAGUUGCAGUAUCCUAGGACCAAAUGGUAUAGUUACUAUUUUUCCCGAAGUACCGUCUAUAUGUUUUCGUGUCUGUAAUGCUUUAGGUCUAUAUGUUUUUGUGUCUGUAAUGCUUUAGCUCUGGACCCUGCUUUUUGAUACGUUGAUUAUAAAC